rnacentral:rRNA from 1 species
GAUGAACGCUAGCGGCAGGCUUAGCACAUGCAAGUCGAGGGGCAGCGCGAAUGUUAGCAAUAACAUUUGGCGGCGACCGGCGCAAGGGUGCGUAACGCGUGAGCAACUUGCCCGUUUCUGGGGAAUAACCGGUGGAAACGCCGACUAAUACCCCAUAGCAUUGGAUUUAGGCAUCUUAAUCCAAUUAAAGAAUUUCGGAAACGGAUAGGCUCGCGUGACAUUAGCUAGAUGGCGGGAUAACGGCCCACCAUGGCGACGAUCAGUAGCCGGCCUGAGAGGGUGAACGGCCACAUUGGGACUGAGACACGGCCCAA